rnacentral:rRNA from 1 species
ACCGAUCAGGCUGUUGGUGAGGUAAUGGCCCACCAAACCUGUAACCGGUACGGGCUCUGAGAGGAGGAGCCCGGAGAUGGGUACUGAGACAAGGACCCAGGCCCUAUGGGGCGCAGCAGGCGCGAAACCUCUGCAAUAGGCGAAAGCCUGACAGGGUUACUCUGAGUGACUUUCGCUAAGAAAGUCUUUUGGCACCUUUAAAAAGGGUGCAGAAUAAGGGGUGGGCAAGUCUGGUGUCAGCCGCCGCGGUAAUACCAGCACCCCGAGUGGUCGGGACGAUUAUUGGGCCUAAAGCAUCCGUAGCCGGUUCUGCAAGUCCCCCGUUAAAUCCAGCUGCUCAACAGAUGGGCCGCGGAGGAUACUCCAGAGCUAGGAGGCAGGAGAGGCAAGCGGUACUCAGUGGGUAGGGGUAAAAUCCGUUGAUCCAUUGAAGACCACCAGUGGCGAAGGCGGCUUGCCAGAAUGCGCUCGACGGUGAGGGAUGAAAGCUGGGGGAGCAAACCGGAUUAGAUACCCGGGUAGUCCCAGCCGUAAACGAUGCAGACUCGGUGAUGGGUUGGCUUCGCGCUAACCCAGUGCCGCAGGGAAGCCGUUAAGUCUGCCGCCUGGGUAGUACGGUCGCAAGACUGAAACUUAA